ACGACGACAGCGUCGUCCGUUGCUCAACAUGAAAUCCAAUUUGAAAACUUCAGUUACAGUUGGAGCGUAUAGCCAAACGGUUCGGUUUUCUAUCCAAGUAACGCUUGCAUGAGUUUCGUUACGUGUCGUGUUCGUCCGUCGUCGUGUAAUUCGUGUAAAAUACCUAUCUAUCAGCAAUUAAAUAAUAAAAAAGAAAAUAAUUGUGUGUGUGAAGUUUUUCUCUGCUUCUUUCUUCCUAUAAAUUUAGUGUUUAAUUUGGUUUUAUUAAAAGUCGGGUUUUAAGCCGUCAUUUGACAAUAUUUUAUCAACAACAACAACUACAAUUAUCCAUAGCCAUAACAACAGGAACGAAAAACAACUACAGCAUAACGAAGAAGGCACGACAAUGAUAGUAGUAACAGCAGCAACAACAACAACGACCAAUUACGGACGGGUUUUGUGAGUGCUGUGUUUCUGUUGUAGUAUUUCGUUUUCGUUACUAUUCUCCAUGAGUUCAAAGAGCCAAAAUUGUAGUUUUUUUGUUUUAUUGUAAUAAAGCAAUGAAGAAUAAUAUAAAGUAAAGGUAGUGGAGAAAAAAAAAACAUGUGAAAGAAUUGUGCAAAUAAACAAAAGAAAAGCCUCGAAUUAAAUUUCUCCCCCAAAACAAAUUGAAAUCAAAAGUGUUUUCUUCCUCUACCAUGGACUUUAUCUCGUCGUCGUCGUUGUCGUUUUCGUUUAGGGUGGACAGGCGGGAGAGAUGCUGUUAAAACCAGAGCAGCAAACAUAACCAGCAAAUAAAACAAGUGCAAGGCAAUUCGUUAGUUAAGAUUUUUCGUAUUCGUUUGUUAGCUCGUACUCUAUACCACACAACACGCCAGAGUUGUAGUACUCCACAUCUCCAGGCUGGCUCGUAAUUUUGCUCGUCGUAGUCGUCAGCAUCGUCGUCUUCGUCGUUUAUAGUUUAUUAAACUCCGGUUUCGGUUGUUCUUUGCGGGCAAAAGAAGCAAAGUGUAAUUGUGUAUUAUCGUGCGAGUGUGUGUGUGUAUGUAUGUAUAUAUGUUAUGGGUCAUGGUGUCCCAACCCAGUAAUACGAGGAGCUCAAAUAGUGGUAGAAGAAGAGGAAGAAAAAAUAUUCUUCCAUGACAUCUGGCCGUUCAAAAAGCCUUGCAAAGUGUUUUUUUCCAAGCAAACAAAAAAAAUCUUGUGCUGUUCCUCUCGACCCACCGGAAUCCAAUGGAGCUGUUUCCUAUUUAAAAAAUACUUUCCAUUGUUGAGAAUUUGAUGGGACAGCACGUUUUGCCAACACUCUCCACCUGUCCGACUGGCGACGCGGCGUUAGUGAAUUCGAUUUACUGGCCAUCGAAAAAAAGAAGAGAAUUAUAAAUAAUAAUCACCUGCAGUUUGAAUAUUACUAAUCGAAAAAAAGAGGAAUAUAUGAGACGUCAUUUUUCGGUUUGGGGUUUAUUUUUUAUUGACUUUUUGAAAAAAAAAAAACAAACCCUACAAAAAUUUCAAUUCCAUUUCAAUCAAUUUGCAAAAAAAAGAAACGUGUAAAAAGCCAUCGACGUAUUCGAAAGCGGCGGCGGCGAUGACAAUGAACUACAAAAUCCAACUUCAAAACCGCUAAGCAAAAAAAGCGAAAGAAAAAAACAAAAGUGAAAAUAAAUUCAAUUUGCAUAAUUCUGAUUGAAAACAAAAAAAAAAAAACAAAAAAAAAAACAAAAAAAAAAAAAACACAGAAAGAAACGAAAAUAACAACAACAAAAAAUUGUGUUAUUUGUGUGUGUUCGCGGUUUAUUAGAGAACGUUGUGUCUAUGUUUUCGUGUGAUUUUCGCGCCCAGAAAUUAAAUUUAAUUUUGUUGAUUCUUUGAGCGCAGGAAAAUCAAAUAGAAAAAUCAAAAAUAAAAUAAAUUGUAAAGCAAUUGUUGUGCGUACGUCUGUGUGUGUGUGUGUGCGUGUAAACUGGAAUCCCAUUACCAUGCAACAAUAAUUGUGGAAACUUCUGCCAACGUUCUGGCAA